rnacentral:rRNA from 1 species
UACGGAGGGUGCGAGCGUUGUCCGGAAUCAUUGGGCGUAAAGGGCUCGUAGGUGGCCAACUAAGUCAGACGUGAAAUCCCUCGGCUUAACCGGGGAACUGCGUCUGAUACUGGAUGGCUUGAGUUUGGGAGAGGGAUGCGGAAUUCCAGGUGUAGCGGUGAAAUGCGUAGAUAUCUGGAGGAACACCGGUGGCGAAGGCGGCAUCCUGGACCAACACUGACACUGAGGAGCGAAAGCCAGGGGAGCAAACGGG